AAGUGCCUUCCACGCGUGAUGUCCCCUCGUGCCCACAGCCACCGUAUGGGGCUCGACCUCUAGCUCCAGGCCACCAGCCGCAUGUGGCCACUCAACACCUGAACCCUGGGAGUCUGAACUGAGAUGUGCUUUCGUGUAAAAUACUCAUGCGGUUUCAUGGACUCAUGAAGUUUAAAGAAUAGUAAACAUUAUUACCAUUCCAAGUUCACGGCUUGAAAAAGGAGGCUCAAAGAGUUGACCAGCUGCCACAAAGUCUAUAAGUGAAGGCAUCUAGCUUCCUUCUACAAAGAGAGAAAGCCCAGGGCUUGGCUAGACCUUCUCACCACCGCUACCCCCAGCUUCCGCUCCCUGGGCUCUUCAUGACCAUCUAGAGCCUUCCAGAACCUCUCCAGAGAACAGCUGUGCUCCAGAGAACCUGGACCACCCCAAAUUCUCUGAGCAAACUCUGCUUCCCAUGGCCAAGGCUGUUCACAGGACUGGAGUGAAUUUCCCCUAUUCAGCCCACCCCACAUUCCCUGAGUGGUUAAGAGCACAGGCCCUGGAUGGAUGGAGUGGGUGCAUAUCCUGACUCUGCCACUUAUUAGCUGUGUGACCUAGGGCACGUUGCUUGACCUCUCUGUGCCUCUAUUGCCUCAUCUGUAAAGCGGAAUAAUAACAGUACCUGCUUCCUGGGGUUGUUUCGAGAACUGAGUGAAUUAAUAUGGGAAAGCACCUGGAAGCCCCUCUGACCCCCAGCAAACAGAGAUUACGGAAAAGACUGACGUCAGUAUUCCCCUCUCCGAGGUGAGGAAGCCAGCAAGUCCUGCAGAGCCUAAUAAUUCUGUCUUCUGCUGAAAGUGUGCAGAGCAGAGGCGAACAGCAAGUAGGCAUUGGGCAUCCAGCCAGGCUGCUGCAGUCCCGUUCCCUACUUCACCGCCCUCUGCUCUCCGGGGGCUCCCUGGCUCACCCAUGCCCCAUCCCAAAUGCCAGGCUUUUCACCUGUAACACAAGACUCCCCACCCGCACUGUGUCCCCCACCACGUGGUCUGCGCAGCUUUCUCUAGAAUAGUCUUCGCAGAGGGGCGAGCAGCCACCUACCACCAGACUUGUCAAAUCUGCCAGGGAAGAUGCACUUGAAAUAUGCAGUGCCUUUUUUAACCGUAACAUCAUAUUGAGGUACAUUGUAAGAGUGUUUAUCAGACCUUCGAGCACUGAAGUUCUGGAAAAAUACAGUCUCCGGGACCUCCUCACUCGUGCGGCCAGGAGUCUUCAGAGAAACCCCCAGAUUGUUUUCCUGUUCACAGUUCCCUCCUUUGUUUGCCAACUAAGUCCCAGACAUACUUGAUUUGACUGUGAAGAAAUACUACUUGUUUAUCAUCGGUUAUUAUCUAUGCCUACUUGUCACGUGGUACAAAAACAGUAAUAGGCAUCAUUUCAAAUACGGGGCGGGUUAAUUUUGUUAAAUUUAUUGUUUGAUUUAUACCAAAUUUUGUUGAACACUCGUAGUCUCAUGCUUUUGUAACUUGCUGCCAAUACUCUCUUGUUUUUCUUAACUAGAAGAAGUAUUUGUUAGGUCUACU